rnacentral:tRNA from 1 species
GCCCAGGUGGCGAAAUUGGUAGACGCACUAGCUUCAGGUGCUAGCGAGCCUAGCUCGUGGAAGUUCGAGUCUUCUCCUGGGCACCA